rnacentral:rRNA from 1 species
GAGGAAUUUUGCGCAAUGGGGGAAACCCUGACGCAGCGACGCCGCGUGGAGGAUGAAGGCCUUCGGGUCGUAAACUCCUGUCAGAGGUGAAGAAUGCCCGCAAGGGUUUGACGGUAACCUCAGAGGAAGCCCCGGCUAACUACGUGCCAGCAGCCGCGGUAAUACGUAGGGGGCAAACGUUACUCGGAAUUACUGGGCGUAAAGGGUGCGUAGGCGGCUGGGAAAGUCAAGGAUGAAAUCCCGUGGCUCAACUGCGGAACGGUCCUUGAAACUACUCGGCUUGAGGAUAACCGAAGAGAACGGAAUUCCCGGUGGAGCGGUGAAAUGCGUAGAUAUCGGGAGGAACACCUGAGGCGAAAGCGGUUCUCUAGACUACUCCUGACGCUGAGGCACGAAAGCUAGGGGAGCAAACGG